rnacentral:rRNA from 1 species
UGCAAGUCGAGCGCACUCUUCGGAGUUAGCGGCGGACGGGUUAGUAACGCGUGGGAACAUACCCUUUUCUACGGAAUAGCCUCGGGAAACUGAGAGUAAUACCGUAUACGCCCUUCGGGGGAAAGAUUUAUCGGAGAAGGAUUAGCCCGCGUUGUAUUAGGUAGUUGGUGGGGUAACGGCCUACCAAGUCUACGAUCUAUAGCUGGUUUGAGAGGAUGAUCAGCAACACUGGGACUGAGACACGGCCCAGACUCCUACGGGAGGCAGCA